CGAACGGUAAGGUCUCUUCGGAGAUACACGAGUGGCGCUCGGGUGAGGAACACGUACGCAACCUACCUUGUACUGAGGAAUAGCCCCGGGAAACUGGGAUUAAUACUUCAUAGUCUUUACAGAUCGCAUGAGAAGUAAAGUAAAGCUCCGGCGGUACAAGAUGGGCGUGCGUCCCAUUAGAUAGUUGGUGAGGUAACGGCUCACCAAGUCUACGAUGGGUAGCUGGCGUGAGAGCGCGAUCAGCCACACUGGCACUGAGACACGGGCCAGACUCCUACGGGAGGCAGCAGUAGGGAAUAUUGGUCAAUGGGCGAAAGCCUGAACCAGCCAUGCCGCGUGGAGGAUGACUGCCCUCAGGGUUGUAAACUCCUUUUAUAUAGGAAGAAACCUCCGGAUUUACUCCGGAGCUGACGGUACUAUAUGAAUAAGCACCGGCUAACUCCGUGCCAGCAGCCGCGGUAAUACGGAGGGUGCAAGCGUUAUCCGGAUUCACUGGGUUUAAAGGGUGCGCAGGCGGGAUAUUAUGUCAGUGGUGAAAGCCCCGAGCUCAACUCGGGAACUGCCAUUGAAACUGAUAUUCUUGAAUUUAGUUGAGGUAGGCGGAAUACAACAUGUAGCGGUGAAAUGCAUAGAUAUGUUGUAGAACACCGAUUGCGAAGGCAGCUUACUAAACUAACAUUGACGCUGAGG
rnacentral:rRNA from 1 species